GUUUGAUCCUGGCUCAGGAUGAACGCUGGCGGCGUGCUUAACACAUGCAAGUCGAACGAAGCACUUUAUUUGAUUUCCUUCGGGACUGAUUAUUUUGUGACUGAGUGGCGGACGGGUGAGUAACGCGUGGGUAACCUGCCUUGUACAGGGGGAUAACAGUUGGAAACGGCUGCUAAUACCGCAUAAGCGCACGGCAUCGCAUGAUGCAGUGUGAAAAACUCCGGUGGUAUGAGAUGGCCUCGCGUCCGAUUAGCUAGUUGGUGAGGUAAUGGCCCACCAAGGCGACGAUCGGUAGCCGGACUGAGAGGUUGAACGGCCACAUUGGGACUGAGACACGGCCCAGACUCCUACGGGAGGCAGCAGUGGGGAAUAUUGCACAAUGGGGGAAACCCUGAUGCAGCGACGCCGCGUGGAGGAAGAAGGUCUUCGGAUUGUAAACUCCUGUUGUUGAGGAAGAUAAUGACGGUACUCAACAAGGAAGUGACGGCUAACUACGUGCCAGCAGCCGCGGUAAAACGUAGGUCACAAGCGUUGUCCGGAAUUACUGGGUGUAAAGGGAGCGCAGGCGGGCGAUCAAGUUGGAAGUGAAAUCCAUGGGCUCAACCCAUGAACUGCUUCAAAACUGAUUGUCUUG
rnacentral:rRNA from 1 species